UACGAAGGGUGCAAGCGUUACUCGGAAUUACUGGGCGUAAAGCGUGCGUAGGUGGUUCGUUAAGUCUGAUGUGAAAGCCCUGGGCUCAACCUGGGAAUGGCAUUGGAAACUGGCGAUCUAGAGUGCGGUAGAGGGUAGUGGAAUUCCCGGUGCAGCAGUGAAAUGCGUAGAGAUCGGGAGGAACAUCUGUGGCGAAGGCGACUGCCUGGACCAGCACUGACACUGAGGCACGAAAGCGUGGGGAGCAAACAGG
rnacentral:rRNA from 1 species